rnacentral:rRNA from 1 species
AUACGGAGGAUCCGAGCGUUAUCCGGAUUUAUUGGGUUUAAAGGGUGCGCAGGCGGCCAUUUAAGUUAGCGGUUAAAUCGUGGGGCUCAACCCCAUUCUGCCGUUGAUACUGGGUGACUUGAUUGCGGUCGAGGUUGGCGGAAUUCGUUGUGUAGCGGUGAAAUGCAUAGAUAUGACGAAGAACACCGAUUGCGUAGGCAGCUGACCAGACCGCAAAUGACGCUCAUGCACGAAAGUGCGGGGAUCGAACAGGAUUAGAUACCCUGGUAGUCCGCACAGCAAACGAUGAAUACUUGUUUUCGGCGAUAUAAUGUCGGAGGCAAAGCGAAAGCAUUAAGUAUUCCACCUGGGGAGUACGCCGGCAACGGUGAAACUCAAAUGAAUUGACGGGG